rnacentral:tRNA from 2 species
AGAGCUAUAAAUUAAUUGGUAAACGUUUAUUUUUAACUCCUGCAAGUUCAAAAAAUGAUGAUCCAGGUUCGAAUCCUGGUAGCUCUA